GGUGAUAUGAAUUGGUGAUAUCACUUGAUGAUAGGUAUGUGAUCAGACCUUGGGAUAUGUUGGCGAUGUAUUAGUAACUUUUCUUAUAUGAUGUAUUUAUGAUAUGAUGUACGGAAUGGCAAAAGAAAUUGUAGUGGUUAGAUUGUAAUAGUUUGUUUUUGUCAAUAGUUGCUACUUCAUGACCCAACAAGGUUUAAAAUUUAUACUACAAUUUUUUUAUUUACGAAGGUUUCAGAGGAUUCAAGCGUAUACUGGUGGAGAUAUUGCAUUCGUCUGGAGAACCUAGGUACAGAAACUGUUCAGUUGCGAGAACGACAUUGGAGGAUAUUCAGCUUAUCGGGGACGCUGGAAACUGUGAGAGGCCGGGGAGUUGUGGGCCAGGAACCAAUUUUAUCUAAGGAACAGCCAGCAUUUCAGUACAGCA